CAGUAGCCGCGGUAAUACGUAGGGUGCAAGCGUUAAUCGGAAUUACUGGGCGUAAAGCGUGCGCAGGCGGUUUGUUAAGACAGAUGUGAAAUCCCCGGGCUCAACCUGGGAACUGCAUUUGUGACUGGCAGGCUAGAGUAUGGCAGAGGGGGGUGGAAUUCCGCGUGUAGCAGUGAAAUGCGUAGAUAUGCGGAGGAACACCGAUGGCGAAGGCAGCCCCCUGGGCCAAUACUGACGCUCACGCACGAAAGCGUGGGGAGCAAACAGGAUUAGAUACCCCAGUAGUCCCUGUCUCUUAUAA
rnacentral:rRNA from 1 species